ensembl:snRNA U6 U6 spliceosomal RNA
UGGCUUCUGCAGCACACUAUACUAAAAUUGGACCCAUGCAGAGAAGAUUAUCAUGGUUCCUCUGCAAGGAUGACAAGCAAACUCAAAGAGGUCUUUUUUUUUUUA